GAGUGUUUUUGGAGAGGAAGUGCCCAUCUGUAGUCAAUAGCUAUUGUUCUCAUGGAACCACAUGCCGGCCUCACUGCAGCCUGCCGAACUGCGUCACGACACUGCAGUAUCAGCCCCUUUGAAUAAAGACUCCCUGUUGAACCAGAUUUACCCACCCUACCAUUUUCACUGUCAUUUGAUUAUCUGCUUGUAUUUUCUGGCUGUGCUAAUGCAGUCUUUUAGCAGUGUUAUCAGAGAAUCCCUAUGGCUCGAUAUCUUGCAAAGCUGGACAGAUCUCCUUGUGUUUGCUUGUUUUCUUCAUUGCCCUCUCCAUUCGCUGGCACAUACAAUGGCAACUCUGGGAUUUCUGACCCUGAACUAAACUGCUGCAGGGCUGAGCGAGAGACUUGGCAGCUUUUGCAGGUAAUCUUUGGGAAUGGGGGUACUAUUCUUGUGUAUAGAGCUGCAGGUUACUGUAGGGAACUAGAGCAGUGUCCCAGAGUCCUAAAGAUAAGACACGUCACAGCAACUGUUUUUUAAUAAGGCCUAACUCAUUCUGUUUCUUUGUUUACCCAUCUCCUUCCCAAUCCUACCAAACUUUCAUUUGAUUUGACCUUUUCUUCAUUCGUGCAAUGAAAUCACUCUGGGUGACUAAGACCUGCCUAUCUGCACUGCAACAUAUUACAGGGAGAAGUUGUGGGCAAAGCUCUGAAUCCAAGAGUGUCAAGAAGGAACUAUGAUUCCUUUGUGUAGUGAGUUUUCUAGGUUGUGUUGUUUGCAGGAAAUACAGUUUUUUUUCAAACAGAUCCACAGAAAUCACAGUACAUUUUCUGUAACAAGUUCAGGUGAGUAAGCCAAUACCUGCCAAUGUUGGAUAGGAUUGUUCUUCCUCUUGCUUAGCUAGCUCAAACUUUUAAAAUAAAAUAACAUCUAACAACAAAUACAGCAUAAAUUUGCCAUGCUUGCUAUUAUUGAUGAACACAUUGCAAAGAGUAACAUAACAAAAUAUAUUUGCACAUUGUACAGUGGAACAAAACAUAUGUGAAAUUUUUCAGGCCUCCAGAAUUCAUAUUACAGUUUCCUCCUCUUGAGGAGGAAAGAUGGAUCUGUAGGGAAAGUGAGAUGAAGGGAAAAUCUGAAGUAAUUUUAUGGAGUUAAGAGUGUGAUUGGGCAAUAAGAAUAAAUUUAUAUUUGUUCUGGUUUGGGGAUAAGUUUUUCAGGGGUUAAUUAACUUCAUGCUCUGUUCAUUUCUUCUUUGUGAACUCUGUAGAAAUGACUGUUAUCCUUUAAUU